AAACCGUAUGUGAUAAUGAAUAUUCAGAGCUUCCAUGGAAUCCACCAGAGGCUGUGCCUAUAUGUUUGUCGUCACACCUAAAGACUAUCACAAUUAAAGGAUUCAAGGGACUGAGGGUUGAGAUGGGAGUGACGAAGUAUCUGUUAAACAAUGGCCAUGUUUUGAGUAAGUUGACACCUUAUACAGGGUUUCUGUAUACUGAGGAGUUUAUGAUGUUUCCUAAGUCAAUGAGUUGUCAAGUUGAGUUUAUGAAGAUGUGAUUCUUGUCGAAUCAAAAGUUGAGGUCAGUUUUUGGUUCUAGAUGGUUAAAAUUUGUAAAAGCAUUGGUGAAACUGGAUAUUACUAUUAUCUGUAUGUUUCUGUUUCAUUCAAUUUUUGUGUUUCUUUAGAAAGUUGAUUAAUAUCGUUGCAAAUAUAUAUCUGGUGGGAUAAGUGAAGCAUCACCUGCUUCUUAGUUGAUCAUGAAGUUACUGUGAAAUGUUGAGCUGUUAUGAAUCGUCUUGUUUUGAUUUCUUUGUGUAUGUUGUUUACAAAUUUCUACAUAUUCAUGACUAGAUGGAUACAUGAAAAUAUGAAAUCAACUGGUCUGUGCCUAAUAUUUCAUCUCAUGGGGUUAAACAAACUUAUCUAGGUAGGCCAGUAGUAAAUUGAAAACCAUUUUACUGAUGACUGAGGCAACUGUCAGAUGUUGAGUUUUGUAGAGGUUAGAAUUUAGAUACCUAGAUUAUGACCUUAUUUUAUGCUUUAGCACUAGCAUAUGACCCGUUCUUAGCUUGUAGUCUAUGGUCAAUCUGUUCAGAUUGAGGCACGUAUAUAUUUAUUUAUUUAUUUGGUUAGGUUUCAAGACAGCCCUUCUAGUGAGGACUCUUAAGUUGAGGACUAGUUGAAGACUUUUUAGUUUAUAGUUUAAAAUACCCAAUUUUCGAUUACAUUUUGACAUAUCAUCCGUUCAGUUUUUAGGUUUAUAUGAGUAGAUCAUUUUUACAAAUUUUCAGCCAAAUUGAUGUUCGUUAAGAUAACAAACUUGAUCAAAUUAAUUGACGAACCAAAUCUGUCAAAUAUGAACCGUUCAAGUUUAUAAUUGAUAAAUCACACUUAUGAAUGCCUUAACAAUUUUCAAUAUAGCUGAAAAUUUGGAGAAAUGAUCUACUCAUAAAUACCUAUAAACUAAAGGGUCAAGAUAUGGAUAUAAGAUCGAAAAGUGGGAUAAGCCGAAAAGUCCUCAACUUAAAGAUCCUCGUUAGAAAGGCUUCCUAGGUUUCAACAUUGGGCUUAAAAUAUAUGGGCACGCAUAUGGCCCAACCCAUAAGACUUGACGUCUUCCCCACGGUUAUAUGUACAGUUUGCCCUAGCCAUGUAUAAAGCUUUGCUUACUUGCUCGAUCUAGGCUGUUUUACUUCUGCUGUGAUCCUCAUCAGUACCAAGUCUCAAAGACAAAGAUGAUGGAACCAUCCUCUCAUACAGGGCAGCCGCCGAUCAAAUGGGUUCAUGACCCUACGCUUCCCUUACCAUGGAUGGGUUUGAUCGAUCAGUCCACAGGUUUGGUAUAUUUCUGGAACCCUAUAACGAACGUCACCCAGUAUGAAAGGCUAUAUUGUCACAACCCGCCAAGUUCCUUGGGCAUAAUUGAAGCAAGCAUUGCCCAAGGAUAACUUUCGGAGCACACUAGAGUGUUCUAGAACGUUGUGGGAAGCCUCGGAGGUGUCCGGAUACAUCGGGAAGUCUCUAGGAGACUAUGGAAUUCUCUAGAACCUUUGAGGAGGCUCAAGCAACUAGAGAUCCCUAGAACUCUCUAGAACACUCAAAGCCUUGUAUAGAUAUUUUAGGACUUCCCUAGAGACAUGUAGAAGUCUCUAGACUUUGUCUUUAUUUGUAAUGUCCUAGAUUACUCUAGAACUUUAGGUAAGGGCAAGGAUGCCUAUAAAUAGGUGGUGAAGGCUCUUAGCCAAUCCAUCCUAGAAAUCCUAGAAAGCCUUGUAAAGAGUUCUCAAACUUAAUACAAAGUUUAUUUCUCCCACAUUGCCUAAGUGUUCCUUUCUAGCAUUCUUGCUCUCUUGUGUUGCUCUUGUUUCCGUUGCGUGAAAGCGAGGCUGACUUAGAGAGUUCGAGGAGGUGAACAACUCUAUGGCCGCACGGUUGGUAGAGAAGCGAAGUUCUCAUCCCGUGACAAGUGGUAUCAGAGCCUAGUUGCUCGUGCACAACACAAAGAGAAGAAAGAUGUCUGGAGAAGGAGUUUCGGUGGAGCAAGCUGUUGUUGGCGCCAAGAGGAGCCACAAGGAGAUACUUGCUGCCUUUGAUGCACAGCUCGAAAAGGUGGAAUCGGCCGUGGUCGAGUUUGACACUCGACUUGACGAUGACGUCGUGACAAAGAGGGAUCUCGCAGCCAUGGUGGAAGAGUUGCGAGAACAAAUGCACGACGCUCUCAACAUUAUGGCAGAUAGGAUCCGAGGGGAGGUCCGAGACAAGCUUGAUUAAAUGUCCGCUGAGCUCACAGCCCUCCGAGAGGAAGUGAAGGAGGUCAAGGGAGAUUGGGCGCUAUGCAAAGAGGCUGCAUUGAAUAAGUCGCAAGGGCCAAAGGAGACGAAGGCAUUGGACUCUUUCAAACCCAAAUCCUUUAGUGGGAAGAGGGAAGCUAAAGAGCUUGACUCCUUUCUAUGGAAUAUGGAAAGGUACUUCAAGUAUCUAAAGCUUGAGGAUGACGAGUCCAAAAAUUUCAACGGCUACCGUGUUCCUAGCCGACAAUGCCCUCAUGUGGUGGCGUCGAAGGAGCAUGGAAAUCGAGCAAGGUACGUUCUCUCUCGAUACUUGGGAGGAGUUCAAGAAUGAUAUCAAGUUGCAUUUCUAUCCCCAAAAUGCUCAAUAUGAAGCCAAGGAGAAGCUUAGGUGGCUAAAGCAUACGGGUAGCGUCAAGGAUUAUGUCAACACGUUUGUUAACUUGCUAUUCGAAGUGCCCAACAUGACGGAGGAGGACAAGCUCAUUUACUUCACGAGUGGAUUACAAAGUUGGGCAAAGCUUGAGUUGCAAAGAAGACAAGUGCAAACCUUGUCACAAGCCAUUGCCGCCGCCGAGUCCCUUAUUGAGUUCAAAGCUAGCCACCAAGGCGACACUAAGUUCAAAGGGAAGAAGGUUAGCUAUGAGAAGAGUGGGAGAGAUGUGCCAAAGCCGAAAGAGAAGUCCGAGUCAAGCUACAAGCCGAAGGUGAAGAGGUUCGAGAAGCACGACAAGUCCGCAAACAAGACUUGGGAAAUAAAGUGCUACUUAUGCGACGGCCCUCAUAUGAUGCGCGAUUGCCCUCAAAAGAAGGCACCCAAAGCCAUGACCUUGCAAGAGCCUAGGAUCGAGGAAGAGGAAGAUAAUGAAGCAAGGAUGGGAUGCAUCCGGUUGCUUAAUGCCGUGAAGGCUAGCGUCCCUCAACCAAGGCGACAAGCGGAAGGUGGAUCGCUUUACAUCGAUGUCAAGGCAAAAGACACGAUGAUUCGUGCCUUGGUGGAUUACGGAGCAACUCAUAACUUCAUGACGUCGGAAGAAGCAAGGAAGCUUGGCCUCUGAGUCACGAAGGAGUCGGGCAGUGUGAAGACGGUGAAUACACUUGCCACGCCCAUUGUUGGGGUAGCACGCGAUGUGGAGGUUCACAUCGGCGCUUAGAAGGGGAAAGUUGACUUCACCGUGGUCAAGAUGGAUGACUAUGGCGUGGUAAUAGGCCUUGAAUUCAUGGACAAGGUACGAGCAUUUCCCAUUCCAUUCUAUAACAUCUUUUGCAUUGUUGCGGAUGGAGAAUUGCCUUGCAUGGUGCCCGUGGCAAGGCAAGCAAGGGAGAAGACAAAGGCACUAUCCGCCAUGCAACUUGCUAAAGCUUGGAAGAAGGGCAAGCCGACAUUUCUAGCAACCCUCAAGAUGGAUGAGGAGGUUGGAGGAAAGUCCGAACCAUUGCCAAAAGCAAUAGAGGCAAUCCUUGAGGAGUUUGGAGAUGUAAUGCCCAAGGAGUUGCCGAAGAGGUUGCCGCCAAGGAGGGAGGUGGAUCAUGCCAUCGAGUUGGAACCCGGAGCAAAGCCACCAUCAAGGUCUCCCUAUAUAAUGGCGCCACCCAAGCUAGAGGAGCUUCGGAAGCAACUUAAGGAGUUGCUUGAUGCCGGCUACAUUCAACCGUCCAAGAGCCCAUACGGUGCCCCCGUCUUGUUCCAAAGGAAGAAGGAAGGCUCAUUAAGGAUGUGCAUCGACUACCGGGCGCUUAACAAGAUCACCAUCAAGAACAAGUAUCCCAUUCCUUUGAUUGCCGACCUAUUCGAUCAAUUGGGAGGAGCAAGAUAUUUCAUCAAGCUAGAUCUUCGCUCGGGAUACUAUCAAGUGAGGAUUGCACCCGGAGAUGAACCGAAGACCGCAUGUGUAACAAGAUACGGAUCGUUCGAGUUCUUAGUCAUGCCAUUUGGUCUCACCAAUGCCCCGGCAACUUUUUGCACCUUGAUGAACAAGGUAUUCCAUCCUUACCUUGAUAAGUUCAUGGUAGUUUAUAUCGAUGACAUUGUGGUCUAUAGCAAAACCUUGGAGGAGCAUGUCGAGCACCUUCGCAUAGUGUUCCAAACCCUUAGGGAGAACGAACUCUAUGUGAAGAAGGAGAAAUGUUCCUUUGCCAAGGAGGAAGUGGACUUCCUAGGCCACAAGAUCAAGGAUGGAAAGCUCUUGAUGGAGGAAAACAAGGUGAAGGCCAUCCAAGAUUGGGAGCCGCCAACCAAGGUACCCGCACUUCGAUCCUUCCUUGGCUUGGUUAAUUAUUAUCGAAGGCUCAUCAAGGGAUACUCCGCCAUUGCGGCACCCUUAACGGACCUUUUAAAGAAAAACAAGACAUGAGAGUGGACGGACCGAUGCCAACAAGCCUUUGAAGACUUGAAGAAGGCUUUGAUGGAGGAACCCGUGCUAAGGCUGCCGGACCUUAGCAAGCCAUUUGACGUACACACCGAUGCGUCGGACUUUGCCAUUGGUGGUGUACUUAUGCAAGAGGGACAUCCAAUAGCAUUUGAAAGCCGCAAGCUCAAUGACACCGAGAGGCGAUACUCGACGCAUGAGAAGGAGAUGACUGCCGUAGUUCAUUGCUUGCGCACUUGGAGGUACUACUUGCUUGGUUCCCAUUUCAUAGUCCGAACCGACAAUGUCGCCACAAGCUACUUCCAAACGCAGCAAAAGCUUACCCCGAAGCAAGCAAGAUGGCAAGACUUCCUUGCCGAGUUCGACUACAAGUUGGAAUACAAGCAAGGCAAAGAGAACGUGGUAGCGGAUGCCCUAAGCCGGAAAGCCGAGCUAGCACCCGUGGUGCUUACACCUCAAAGCAAUCUCAUGGGAAGAAUCAAGGAGGGACUAUCCCAUGACUCUCAAGCCAAGAACUUGGUGGAGCUUGUCAAGAGUGGAAUGACAAGGCGAUUUUGGCUCGAGGACGAGCUGCUUUACACAACGGGGAAGCGGCUCUAUGUUCCGAAAUGGGACAACUUGAGGAAGGAGGUGUUGAAGGAAUGCCACGACUCAAAGUGGGCGGGACACCCCGGCACUCAUCGCACGUUGGCAUUGCUUAGUGACACCUACUAUUGGCCACAUAUGUGGGACGAUGUCGAUACAUAUGUGAAGACUUGCCUUGUGUGCCAACAAGACAAGGUGGAGCAAAAGCAUCCGGGAGGGUUGUUGGAACCCCUUCCCAUUCCAUCAAGACCGUGGGAAAGUUUAAGUAUGGACUUCAUCACUAAUCUACCCAAGUCCGAUGGUUGUGGAUCCAUCUUCGUGGUGGUAGAUCGAUUCACCAAGUAUGCCACAUUCAUCCCGGCACCCGUGGAGUGUACCGCGGAGGUAGCGGCAUGCUUAUUCCUCAAGCAUGUGGUGAAGUAUUGGGGAGUUCCAAGGAGCAUAGUUAGCGAUCGAGAUGCUCGAUUCACCGGAAGGUUUUGGAGGGAACUCUUCAAGUUACUUGGGGCAAACUUAAACUUCUCCACGGCCUUUCAUCCGCAAACCGAUGGGCAAACGGAGCGCGUGAAUGCCUUGUUGGAGCUAUACUUAAGGCAUUACGUGAGUGCUAACCAAAAGGAUUGGGCAAAGUUGCUUGAUGUCGCCCAAUUCUCGUAUAACUUGCAGCGGUCCGAGUAGACGGGAGCAAGUCCAUUCGAGCUAGCAACCGGACAACAACCCUUGACUCCAAGCACGUUGGUGACCGGCUACACGGGAAGUAGCCCCGCUGCAUAUAAAACAGCCAAGGAGUGGUAGCAAGCCAAUAAGCUCGCUCGUUCGCAACUAGAGAAGGCUUCAAAGAAGAUGAAGAAGUAUGCGGACCGGCAAAGGCGACACUAGUUCCAAACCGGCGACUUAGUGUUCGUGAAGGUUAUUCCAACACAACACAAGGCGAACAAGGGACUUCACAAGAGUUUGCUGCGGAAGUAUGAAGGUCCCUUUCCGAUCCUUAAGAAGGUAGGCAAAGCGGCAUAUCUAGUGGAACUACCUUCUAACACCAAGCUUCAUCCGGUGUUCCAUGUGAGUCACUUGAAGCCUUAUCAUGAAGAUGCCGAAGCACCCGAACGAGGUAAGUCCCAUCGAGCUCCCGCUUAUAUGAACACUUCAUUUGACAAAGAAGUUGAUAGUAUUGAAGCCUAGCGCGAGGUGCGGAAGAAGCGGAUACCAAGGUAUACCGAAUACUUUGUCAAAUGGAAGGGGCUGCCCGUGUCCGAGGCUAGUUGGAAGAAAGAGGAGUUCUUGUGGCAAUUCAAGGACAAGAUUUCCGAGUUCGAGCAAGAGGAGCUCGCAAGGGCGACGAGGACGUCGCCGACUUGAGUGGGGGAGAAUGUCACAACCCGCCAAGUUCCUUGGGCAUAAUUGAAGCAAGCAUUGCCCAAGGAUAACUUUCGGAGCACACUAGAGUGUUCUAGAACGUUGUGGGAAGCCUCGGAGGUGUCCGGAUACAUCGGGAAGUCUCUAGGAGACUAUAAAAUUCUCUAGAACCUUUGAGGAGGCUCAAGCAACUAGAGAUCCCUAGAACUCUCUAGAACACUCAAAGCCUUGUAUAGAUAUUUUAGGACUUCUCUAGAGACAUGUAGAAGUCUCUAGACUUUGUCUUUAUUUGUAAUGUCCUAGAUUACUCUAGAACUUUAGGUAAGGGCAAGGAUGCCUAUAAAUAGGUGGUGAAGGCUCUUAGCCAAUCCAUCCUAGAAAUCCUAGAAAGCCUUGUAAAGAGUUCUCAAACUUAAUACAAAGUUUCUUUCUCCCACAUUGCCUAAGUGUUCCUUUCUAGCAUUCUUGCUCUCUUGUGUUGCUCUUGUUUCCGUUGCGUGAAGGCGAGGCUGACUUAGAGAGUUCGAGGAGAUGAACAACUCUAAGGCCGCACGGUUGGUAGAGAAGCGAAGUUCUCAUCCCGUGACAAUAUGCCCCUCAGUAUCAUCAUCAAUUUUACCUAGAGAAAAAUCCAUAUCCAUGGCUUCCUCCUCUUUACGACUGGCCAAAAAACCCAAAACCACUCUCUACAUCUCAUGUCCCCAGUGCUCCGCCGCACCGGGUUACCAUUCCGAUCAACUACCCACGACAUCGAUCCUUCAUUUGUGGGGAAGGUCAAGAUAGGAUUAGUGAAUUACCGGAUGAGCUUAUUUCUCACAUACUGUGUUUUCUCCCAACAGUAUCUGCCGUAAGGACCACUCUCUUGUCUAAAAGAUGGAACAAGUUGUGGACUUCUGUUCGCCAUCUAGACUUCGACAUAGUCAGAGAGAUGAUCCGUUAUAGAUCUCGUUUUGAGAGUUUUGUACAAUUUGUAUUUCUACGUCUGUCUUCACCAGACAUUGGAAAAUUUCGUCUUAGAUAUGUCACUUCCCCUUAUUCUAAUUCUGAUUCUUCUCUUUUGAGUGAUUGGGUGUCUGCUGCCAUCUGGCUCAAUGUUGUUGAACUUGAUCUUAAAAUUCUUAAUGGAUCUUUUGAAUAUCUUUGUGAUCUACCUCAAAGCAUUUUCUGGUGCAAAACCCUCAAGGUUUUGAAACUGUGGAUAGAUUCAGAUAUAGCUAUUCCUAAACCUCCUACAUCAGGAUGUUUCCCAAGUCUCAAAAUCUUCCAUCUCACAGUCAUAAAUCCUGGUGAGAGACUGGGAAUUCUUCUUUCUUACUUCCCUGUGCUCGAAGAUUUGAGCAUACAUGGACAUGUGACGUACUCUUAUAGUGCUUAUAGCAAUAUGAAUGUCAAAGUUUCUACCCCAGAGCUGAAGACGUUGAAAUUGAGUAUGGAACGUGCGAAAAGGGAUUUCAUGUACGACGAUGAUUAUUAUGAAACCCCAAAGCAUAACAGUUUUUGUGUCGAUGCUCCAAAGCUCGAAAACCUUGAAGUCAUACAGAUUCCUUUGUCAAAUGUUAUUUUGGAGAACCCGAAAUCCGUAGUCCAUGCCAGUAUUGCUUUCAAAUCCCUUGCCAAAGAAGAGUGGCCUUCCUUUCCAGACCGUGCAUAUCAACUUCUGACUGGAAUAUCUAAUGUUAAAUGCCUCUCUCUUUUAGAUCAACCUUUCGAGGUAAUCAAGUAUAUACCAACUCUUAUUUUCUUCAUAAAUCUUUAUUGUUGUAUGUUAGUAGUUUUCUAAUUUCUGGAUGGCUGUUUGUGUGAUCACCACUUCCACUAAUUUUCCCCAGGCUUCAAACCUCCCUGUUUUUGGUAAUUUGAACCAAUUGAGGCUGGUUCUCCGUAAUCGUAAUAGCUGGGAGUUUCUAACAUUGCUGCUCCCAAAAACACCCAAUCUGGAAGAUCUAGAUCUUGUGUUGGAAGAUGUAAGUAAUAACAUUUGUAGUGUACAAGUACGCGAUGUGAUUACCACACCUCAUGAACUCUAAUCUCCUAAACUCUUAUUUUAUCCUCAGGGAACCGAAGGCCAGAAAGAUGAUCCAGAACUUGAAUGGACUCCACCUGAGCUUGUGCCUGACUGUUUGUCAUCAAACCUCAAGGCAAUCUCCAUAAGAGGAUUCAAGGGUCUACAAGUUGAAACUAAAUUAGCAAAAUACAUGUUACUGAAUGGUUGUCUUUUGAAUAAGAUGACGAUUUAUACAUGUAUGUUAGACAUACACUACAACAAAUUCCGACAGUAGUGACCAACAGAGUGGUCACAAAAGCUAAUAGUUUUGGUCACUAAUUGUGUUUAGUGACCAAAAAAUGGUGGUCACUAAGUGGUCACUAUAGACUCGUCACUAAUUCUCAAUAGUGACCACUUAUUAGACUUGGUCACUAAAUUAGCGACCACUAUAAUCUGGACACUAAUACUAAUGGCAUUUGUGACCACAAAAUUGAUCACUAAAAAGGUCAAAUGUAGUCACUGAAAGUCAUUAUUUGGUCACUAAACCUCAACACAUGUAUAAAUUAGUGACCAUGUCAACAUGCCACUAAAGAAUUGGCCAUAAACAAAAAAAAUUCUGUAAACAGAAAAUAAUAAUAGCUUUUCUAAGUCUUUUAAAUUUAGUCUCCAUUACAGUAGAACAUAUGUCAAUUAAUGAAUGUUGUCAAAUACAGAUUAACAGUCUUUUAACAAAAAAAACAAUCUGUGCAGAACUCUUAACUAUGAUGCUAUUGUGCUGCACUUCUCAAAUUUGACCAUCCUAACAUCAUUCUGCAAAUGAAAAACAUAAAGCAACAUGCGUCAGUCAUAAUCCAUAAGGAUAAUGUGACAAAUGCAAUAAUGAAAAAUGGGCAUAUAUAAAUCACUGUUGUACUCUGCAAUAUUAAGUAAGUGGCUGAAAAAGAAUCAUCUACUAGAAAUACAUUAAUAAAUUUAUACACGAAUAAUCAUUCCACUCUUUUCUUUUAAGUAAAUUUGUCAUACAAAGAAGCAAACAAGGGGGUUAUUGAAAGCAUAAAAAAGUGCGCCCAGCUACUACACAAAAACCUUAUUUAAGAGAUUGAUCUAAGCAUGUUAUUGAUAGCAAUAUGCUAAUUUCAGAAAAAGAAAAAAAUUGCAAAUCAAUGGUUUAUCAUAUCCUACCCUAUCAUAGUAUCUGAUAGCUAUUCAAAUCAAAAUAACCAUUCAUAGAAACAGAAUAUCAGAAACAACGUUCACUUCAGAUAACAUGCAAGUAUUUGAUUUACAAAUAAGCAACAAGUAUGACAAAGAGCAAGUAAUAUAGAAAUGUAAGGCUUUAAGUCAAUUCUGAUUCUAAAAAAUAUGCAAAUCAAUGGUUAAUUGUUCCCUGCUCUAUCAUAUUAUCCCAAAGCUAUGCAAAUCAAAAUCAAGACAACCAUUCAUAGAAACAGAAUAUUGAAAAUAACAUUCACUUCUGAUAGCAUGCAAGUAUUUGAAUUAGAAAUAAGCAACAAGUAUGGCAAAGAGUAAGUAAUAUAGAAAUGUAAGGCAUCAAAUGCAAGUACUCAUAUGGCUUACUUAUAUAAAGUCAGUACUAACUGAUAAGCAUUACCUACAAUGUUAGGAAUAUUCGAUUCGCUGUCUCUGCAUCAUAUAUUGUUGAAUGUAUACAUUUCUGGAGACACCAGACCAAAAUCAGAUGAUGAAGGUAGAUCGACCUUGUCAUCUAAUCUACAUUAACUUUGUUGUACAAGCAAGUGAAGCAACCUCCAACACUUUGACCAAUCGAUUCUCAGCUGCUCAAAAGUGUGUGCUUAUAUUAGAAACAAGUCAAAUACAUUGAGACAUUAAUUUGACAUGUUUUAAUUUUAUUUCAAUGUCUCUCAAAACAACAUUGACAAACUUCGUAACCCAAAACAAUUAACAACUCAAACGACAAUGGAAACAACACUCAUCUCUAUAUGGACAUGCAGUAUGGUAUAAACAACAAUGAACAACCCAAACGCCUAAGGAAAACAUGUCCCUAGCUAAGCAAAUAUGCAGCUUUCAGAAUACAUGGGAAAAUGUCUUCCCAAAAGGGUAUGUAUGGCCAUAACCUUUGUAAACANNNNNNNNNNNNNNNNNNNNACAAUUAACAACUCAAACGACAAUGGAAACAACACUCAUCUCUAUAUGGACAUGCAGUAUGGUAUAAACAACAAUGAACAACCCAAACGCCUAAGGAAAACAUGUCCCUAGCUAAGCAAAUAUGCAGCUUUCAGAAUACAUGGGAAAAUGUCUUCCCAAAAGGGUAUGUAUGGCCAUAACCUUUGUAAACAAAUAAGCAAACUCACCUUUCUAAAUAUACUAUAGAUAAUAUAGAUGACAUCAAGCUGAAGAUGAGAAUUAACAGUGGAUGCAUACGUAGAUGGAGUCACUACAGAUCACCCCUUUGAUUAGCUUGUUUGCAACAAUGCGAAACAUCCUUGAUUGUGUAGGCACAAAACGAGAAGCAAGUCAGAAAAAAUGACAUUAGAAAGGUCACAAAUUUCAUGGUAUAGUUCAAGGGCAGAAUAACCAUCAGUGGCAUUUGAAGAACUAUUUUCUUUUCCCUGACAUGUUCUGCCAUAGUUCCUCCCUGUUUUAGACCUUCCAGCAAGUGAACUGGAGUUGGACCAUUUAGAGAAGCCUCCCCAUCUGGAAAGUGGACAAUUCUAACCUCUACACAUUGAAUUUGUGAUACUGCUCACAAAUCUCUAAGUCUGGAUUUGAUACUUCCUNNNNNNNNNNNNNNNNNNNNGGAGAGAGAGAAGAUACAGGGAACGGAAGCGGAAUAUUUGGUGGAGGGAGUCCAGAUAUGUCUAAAAUAUAGGUAACUGUUCACUCAAAUUUUCUCAUAAACCGCGAAUAAUCCCGCGUCUGAGAAUAAAGUUUUUAAAUGUUCUUUGGUCACUAAUGAAUCUGAUGUUGUCACUAAUUUUUUAAAAAUUACUGACCAAGUCGACUUGGUCAUUACUUUGUCAAAUGAUAGGUCACUAAAAAUUAUCCAAAGGGCGGCCUUACCAUUUUUAUUACCUCCAAAUGCUUUAAUGACCAAUAGUGUUUGCUGGUCGCUAAAACUAUAUUAUUUGUGACUAUUAUGAUUAGGUCACUAAGAAUUUGGUCACUAUAGCCACAUAUUGUUGUAGUGAUAGAAAGUCUUGCAAAGAUCUUCUGACCUUUCCGACUUGUCAAGUGGAAUUUAAGGAAAUAGAUCUUAAAAGAAUGGCUUUUAGAAGAUUUUGUUGAGUGUAAAACAUCUCGUUUUUUUAUGGUAUUUGUUUUUUUGAUGGACAUUUUUAUGGUAUCACAUCAACUCGCGGUCAUAUGAUAGUAUGAAAAAAGUUGGUCUAUAUAGAAUUUUUCAUCAAUAAUGCCAACAUAUCUUUUACAAAUGAAAAAACGAAACCAAUUUUUAUAAAUUUUGCACUCUUCGUUUGUAUAUAUCAAGCUUCUAUAUGUUUCGCUCUUAAAUUUAUCUACACGCGAUAGACAAACUUAUUUUGAGCAAAAUUAGAAUGAGUUUGAAGAUUGACAAAAUAACUUAUUCUCGACUAAAUGAUUAAGAUCAAUCAAAAUUUUAUUUCAUAAAACUAGUAUCGCACUCCAUCCAAAGAGAAGUACAGUUGAUUGGGGAAAGUUUACAGAUUUGUCCAACUAACGUAUAGCUUUUGAAGGAAUGUACAUGCAUGGUUGUUUAUUCAUCUUACAUGAUUAAUAACAUAACCGAUCACUAAUUUGGCAUUGCUAAGGAGAUAAAGUAACAAAACAUUUUUGGUAGCUUGUUGUUCUGGCUUUUGUGAGGGAAAACAUUUCAGUAUAUCUUACUGUAUUGCGUUCCAACUAACCUCUUUCAAUUUUUAGUGUAUCUUUUUCUUCUCAAGUAGUUGAAUUUUAGUAAAUACAAAAAGUUUACGUCAUGAAAAAGCUAUACCAAAUUAGAGCCCAACCAAUAGAUUCUCACAACACCCUUACAAAGCCAUGCAGUGGCGGAGGGAGAAAAAUAAACAUGUGGGGGCAAAGUUAGUGAACCAAACACAAAGAUAUCUAUUGAUGAAUGAAUACUCAAGUUCAGUUUCUAAAUAUUGAAAGAACUCUAAUUUAAUUAUUCAAACAUCAGUUACACAAAAAUUGAUUUCAGCACAAAAGAAACUAUAGUGCUCAAAGUUAGAAAUACUCCAAUUCAAACAUCCAUGAAAUAGCAAUCAUGUAUACAAAAAUUGGAGUUCUAACACAAAAGGAACCAAUAUCUACUUAAAAAAACAAAAAUAGUAGUGCCUCAAGUCACCUAUAACUGUCCUCGACGAGGUGCCAUGUACUUUGGAAUCGUUGAAUUAUAGACUCAUUGUCAAUGACAUUGAAGACAUCUUUCUCAAGGUACAUUGUUAAGCUACCAUUCAACUAGUGGCGAAGCCAGGAUUUGUACCUAAAGUGGGUCCGAGUUUAGCAAAGGAUGAUUGAACUUAAAUUUAUUUUAUUUUUCUCUUUAUGUUAAAUGUAUCGGUUUUGUACAUUAUUUUUUACCUACAAGCUUAUUGAAACUUUAUUAUUGGUUUUGUACAUUAUUUUUCUCCUACAAGUUUAUUGAAAUUUUAUUCAUAAUCAAUAACGGUAGUGUGACGAUAUCCGUACAAAAAAUAAGUAAAAGACCGAAGGUAUUAACAAUUUAUAAAGUUUUUCCUUUGUGUAGAAAUAGAAAAUCAAGAUCAUUGACGUAAAUUAUAAACAAAAAAAUCAAAACCAUUAAAUACCCUAAUUAUUACUUUUAUUUAGCCAAUUCAAUUGAAUAAACUAUUAAUUAUAUAAAAUCCUAUAUAAAAUAGUAGUUCUUUUUGUUUACACAUUUUAUCUCUUUCCCUUUCUCUUUUAUAUCAUGUCAAGUGGCAAGAGGUAGUUUAGAUUGACAGGCGGGUUCACACGUACAAAAAAGCUGCUAACAUGACAUUUCUAUCACCCAAGUCCAUGUAAAUUCAGCAUAUGUGGAAACUGUAGGGGGGGUCAGGACCCCACCGGAUCUAAACACAGCUCCGCCCCUACAUUCAACCAUUGAUCUCCUAUUCUAUUUCGCAUUUGAUUUUUUAUGAUGUUCAUGGCAGAGAACGCUCUUUCAACUUUGGCUGUUGAAACUUGAAGUAUCUAUGCCAAUGUAAUGAGCCGAUAUACAAAUGGAUAUGUCAUAUGCUUUCCUGUCUCAACAAGUUUAUGUGCUAGAUUAGAAACUCCAUGCAAGUCUUGAAACUUAGAGUUAGAUUGCAUAUCACCAAUGUAAAUAUCAAGCUAAGACUCCAGUACCAACAAAUCUGAUGUAGAAAAAUCAGUUGGGUAAAAUUGAGCAAGAAGCAUCAAACGUUCCUUGUUGAAAGAAGAAAAUGAAUGAUUCGAACUUAAACAUGCAAGACAAAGGAGUAGCUUUGUAUUAGUCUCAUUGAAACGGUUGUUCAGCUCUUGAAGUUGGAGAUCUAUCACAGCACAAAAGAAAUCAAAACGAUAAUAGUGCAUGUUUAUGAUUUCUGGACUCUUAUGCUUUGAUUUCCAUUGACAUAGAUGUUGAUUACUCAUGUUUGGAACCUUGAUAUUUUCUUUGCCACAAAAUACAACAACUAGGUCUAAUAAAGAAUCUCAUCCAUUAUCCCUCAUAUCCUGUAGUUUUCUCUUACAGAGUUUCACUAAAUCCAUUGCAUUUACUAUAUCUUGAUCAUCUCUUUGCAAGGCUUGCGACAACUCGUGAGUAAUUCCAAGUACAAUUCUCAUCAAGUGCAAACUAAAUAUGUAAUCAAAAGAUUGCAAUAACCUCAAUGAUAUAAAUGCAUCGUGCUUUUGAUCAGAACCUACUUUGUCAAAUGCAAUUUCAUCUAGCACAUCUAUUAUGGAAGAGAACAUGGCAGUAAAGUUUAUGAGCGUACCAUAAUGUGAGCUCCAACAUGUAUCGGCUGAACGUUUAAUCUCAAUUUCUUGAUUUAACCCUCUCCCACUUGAAAGUUCUCCUCCUUUCAAUGCUUGGAUAACUUUGAGAGCUUGCUUUUCUCUAAGAAUGUCACGUCGUUUCGAAGAGGCACCAACAAUAUUCACAACUUUAGCAACUAAUGUAAAGAAAGCACCAACAAUGUCAUAUUUUUUUGCCACAGCCACCAAAGCUAACUGAAGUUGAUGUGCAAAACAAUGGACAUAGAAAGCACUAGGAUUCUCCUUCAAGAUAAGUGUCUUCAAGCCGUUCAGCUCCCCACUCAUAUUACUUGCUCCAUCGAAGCCCUGACCACGUAGACUUGAUGUGCUUAAACCAUGUUUACAAAGCAAUGCAUCUAUGGCUUCCUUAAGAGUUAUGGCAGUAGUAUUAGCAACAUGCUCAAUGCCGAUAAACCGUUCUAUCACACAACCUUUCUUAUCCACGUAACAAAAAAUAACAGCCAUAUGCUUUGAUCUUUUACAGAAACAUCUCUAGCUUCAUUAACUAGAAUAGAGAACAAUGCAUUAUCCAUGUCUGCAAUUAUGACAUUUAUUGUUUCAACAGCAGCAGCAUUUACUAUGUCUUUUUGAAUCAUUAGUGAUGUCAUUUUGAGGUUUUCAGGAGCAUUAUGCAAUGUCACAACUCUAACUUGCUCAUCAUGAUCAGCAAGGAAUUGUAAAAGCCCAAGAAAGUUACCUUGAUUGCUGGAAUUAUUAGAUUCAUCAUGGCCCCGGAAUGCAAGGCCUUGUCUUAGAAGCAACUGUAUGCAAUCGACAGAUGCAGUGAGCCGAAUUCGAUAAGAUGUUCUGGAUGGCUUAGCAUUCUUCUGGAUAUUGUUUCGAAUGUGUUGUCUUUCAUUCAUCAAGUAUUCACACUUCUUCAAAGCUUGGUUAUGAGCAUUGUUGAGGUCUCCAACAUGAGUAUAUAACCUUCUUUUCUUCUUCCAAUUUCGAUAACCAUUUUUAGUGAAAACACCGCCGCCUGCUUGUUCUCCGCUGUUUGUUUUGAAUAGGUAGCAGCACAAACAAAAUGCAGCAUCCUUCUCGAUGCUAUAUUCCAACCAGUUAGGAAAAUCAAUGAACUAAUCAGUUAUGAACCUUCGUUCCUUAGCUCCACACUGAGUCUUAAGACAUUUGUGAUCUUUAGGCUGACAAGGACCCCUCUGAAGAUAUUCUAUUUGAACUUGGUCUCGAAUGUUUGAAUCAUAGUCUGAAAUACUCUUUCGUAAUCUAGGAUCUGAAUGAAGAUCAGCCAAGUUUAUCUCCACCCCAACAUGAAUGUUAUUUGACAACAUGUCUGAUUUUCUUUUAAAGAAUCUUUCCAUGAUUUUUUUCACAAAAUCACAAUUCACAACUGCAAUAGCAAAUCAAAAUGUAAGUUAACUUGAAUUGAAAAUUAAGAAACGAUCAACAAGAUUAAAAUAUGCUUAUUAGCUUAUACAAUUAUAAAGUUCCAAAAUUCCAUUCUUCUAGGCAUGUAGUGUACUGAAUAUUGAUAGUCAUCCUACUGGUAACCAAAAUACUUGUUUGAACAGAAUUAUAAACUCCCAAAUCAUGAUUCAUGACUCAUGAGUUCACAAAAUUUUCAAUUGAAUAUAUACAAGAACACUAGAACAGAGGAGAAGUCUAGAAGAAAACCAAUCGCAUUGAGAGAGCAAGACGAAUAGACGAUAACAAGACAUGUUAUGAUGUUAUCUGAUAACUGAUAGAUAUAUGAAAUCGAUGGUCCAUCAUGCAUUGAUCCAUCUGAAAUUGAGAGAGAGCAUGUACCAUACCUUGUUGAGUUGUUGAUUUCAGAAAUAUUGAUUUGGGAUUUUGGGGUUGGAGGCUAAUAAGAGAUUGAACGCACAAAUCAUCACUGCAUUAGUAUUCUUCUUCUUUUUUCAACAAAGAGAUUGAAUGCACAAAAAACGCAAGAGUACUGAAGUAGUGUUUGGGGGAAACACAACUCUAUAUUGGUAACUGGGAGACCUUGAUAGUUGGGCUUCUCAAAGUUAGAGUGCAUGAGAAGCUUCUUAUUAUUCCUCAAUUCUUUUUUGUGUGGUUAUUUUUUUUUUUACACAGACUUUUUCCUUUUCACUGGGGGCACGGGCCCCCACUGGUCCUCAAUUCCCUCCGCCCCUGAAGCCAUGGCAUGAUGAUGAUAACAGUAAUGAUGAAAUAUGAUCGAGAUCAAGCACCGAGAUCCACCAUAAAAAGAAGAAGAAAAUAGAUCAAGCACCGAUUGAAAAGUUUCUUUUAGCUUGUUUCGUUUGUUAAUUUGAUUAUUUUGCAACGAAAAUAACAUGGUGAAACCUUGUUCUUCUAUAAAAGAAAAUUAUGAUACAUGAAAGUUUAGAUGGAAGGCAUCCACACCUGCUUGAAAAAUCGAGAAGACAACUGUUCUGAUUGCAAAAGCCGUUAGUCUUCAAAGAUGGUCUUCUUAAAGCCCAAGAUAUGGGGAUCUGAGAUUUUUUUGUGGAAAGUAACUCCUCUCUAGUCAUCAAUUGCGUUAAUGAGAAGUUUAAAUGUCCUAAGAGGCUCCUUCAUAUAGUCCAAGACAUCACGAAGAUUGCAAGUUCUUUUAAUCGCAUUCUCUUCCAACAUAAUUUUUGUGAAGUCAAUUUUGCUGCCAAAGCUCUUGCCAACUUCGGUCACUAUUGUAUGAGGCCUAGAUUUUGGGAAUCGAAUUUUUUGUUAGUUGUAGAUUCAACUAUCAAUUUUGAUCUCUUCGAAACAUGUUGUUAUAAAUAUUCUGUUUUGUGACGGUCUUUUAACAUAACAAAAACAAAAAAAAAUGACAUCCACAGUUCCACGCAAGCAGCCACAGGCUCCAAAUCUAAACAGUUUCCUCGGGAAACAUUUUGGGAUUAGGAUCCUCUUUGACUUUUAAUCUCAACCGUUUCAUCGUAACCCUACAUUAAAGACCUCACGCAUCAGCGACGUCUUUAAUUCCUCAUUUUCCGUCAUCGUUCUCAGUCCCCUUCUCCUUUUCAUAAAAAAUUAAAAAAAAAAAAAAUCCCCUUCUCCUUCGAUGGGUCUCACUCUUUAAAUCCAGAUAGCCAGCAACAGCCACUCGAGCGCGACCUGUAUACGUGAAGCCGAUCCAGAAGAUAUUAGCCGAUUCAUCUACUUUCUGCAACUGAGAUCCAGUUGAUAGGGUUCUUCUGUAGCUUCAAGCCCGGAACAUUUCACUGAGCAAGGGUAAGUGUUUCCCUUUCAUCUUCCGAUCAAAGCUCUUACGCCCAGUAUUAGAUUUUGUAUGAACGAUAAGGCUUGUUUAAAAUGAUUACAUCAGUGCUCUCAAUUUGACCUUGAUUUUGGGUUUUGAAAUCAGAAAUGAAAAGGGUGGCCAGAGUGCGAGAAGAUCGGAUCAGCGCAUUACCAAAAGCCGUCAUUUGUCACAUACUCUCCUUCCUUCCGACAUUAGACUCCGUGAGGACUACUCUUUUGUCUAAGAGUUGGAACAACAUGUGGGCUUCUGUCACUAGUCUAGACUUCGACGAUGACAGAGAUGAUGUUAGAUAUUUUUUCAGGUUUGUUAACUGUGUACUUAUGUUUCGUGACUCAUCAAACAUCCAAAAAUUCCAACUUAAGAUUAGUGGCGAAUUGCCCGGAAUUGAUGUGGAUUGUGUUGAAGAUUGGAUUUGCGCUGCAGUGAGACGCAAUGUGGUAAAGUUUCAUUUAAAAUUGUACUAUAGGAUCCCUCGUAGUGUUUUUACAUGCAAAACAGUGAGGACUCUGAGACUUGAAGUUGGUGGUAGUCCCAUUCAUUGGGAUUAUCCUUCUGUGUGUUUCCCAAAUCUCAAGUUUCUUCAUGUAACAAUGGAACGUCCUGAGUACGAAGUACCGGAACUGGUUUUCUCUUCUUGCCCUGUUGUUGAAGAUAUGAUCAUUGAUGGGUCGGCCAAUAACGACAACUAUGAUUUCAAUAUCUGUGCACCUGAACUGAAAUCAUUAUCGGUAUGUUUGGCAGAUCCUAGUGAUCAAUAUGAGAACAACUUUCAGGUUAAUGCUCCAAAACUUGAAAAGCUUGUGCUUGAGAGCGAUUUCUUGUCAAAUUAUAAUUUGGAGACUGUGAAAUCCCUAGUCAGUGCUAGUAUCACCUUCGAUGCCAUUUCUGCUUAUGAAUUUGAAUCCUUUCCAACUCGUGCAACUGCCCUCCUGGCUGGGAUCUCCAAUGUCAAAUGUCUGUCUCUUUCAACUCAUUCCUUUGAAGUAAGUAUUAUCGUAACUUCUAUUCUCUUGCAUGACAUAAUCUAGGAUAAAAGCUUUAUCAAUCUUUCGAUGCUGGAUAUGUAAAAAAGAAGUUUGGUCACUACUUUUAGAAGUUUGGCCUGUGUAUAAUAUAAGUACUAGAAUAGUCAUGCCAUUAAUAUGUAAAAAGAAAAGAACAUGCAUAGUAAAUAUACAAUUAUACAUUGCCGUCAUCUCUUAAUAAUCCUUCUUAUUGUUCUUAAUAUUCCCUGUUGUUUUUGUCAUGUUUAUGUUAUCUGGGAAAUUAUGGAUUACAAUGGAAACAGUAUGUUAUCAUUGUUAUGCGUAGAAAUUUUAUACUUUUGAUAUAUUUGAGUUAUUGAUAAAUAUAUCUGUCCUGUAGGUUUCAUAUCUACCUGCUUUUAAUAAUUUGCAAAAAUUGGAUCUGCUUCUUCAUAAAUGCAAGUAUUGGGAGUUGCUCGCAGAGCUUCUCUACAGGGCACCGAAUUUGGAAGAUAUGGUUCUGGAAGAUGUAAGUGUUUUUUUUCUUUUUCGGGCAGAACUAAGAUGUCUUUAUACUUGUGUUUAGUUAUUGUGAACUUGUAAGUGCAAUUCCAGAAUUUGACUCAACAUUUAAUCCAUCUUUUNNNNNNNNNNNNNNNNNNNNUGAAUAUUCAGAUCUUCCAUGGAAUCCACCAGAGGCCGUGCCUAUAUGUUUGUCAUCUCACAUAAAGACUAUCACAAUUAAAGGAUUCAAGGGAUCAAGGGUUGAGAUGGGUGUGGCAAAGUAUUUGUUAAACUCUGGUCAAGUUUUGAAUAAGUUGACACUUUAUACUGGGUUUCUGUAUACUGAAGCUGAGGAGAUGAAAAAGGAGUUUUUGAUGUUUCAUAGAGCGAUGAGUUGUCAAAUUGAGUUUAUCAAGAUGUGAUUUUUGUAAAUCAAAAUUUGUGUUCAGUUUUUUUUGUUGUAAAAGAUUAAAAUUUGUUAAAGCAUUGAUGAAACUGGAU
rnacentral:lncRNA from 1 species